rnacentral:tRNA from 1 species
CCGCCCUUGGGCUGGUGGUAGAGCCGCUUAGCUUUAGAACAGAUAAAGACUGGAAACGCUACCCGGGUUCCCUCCCCGAAGGGCCGA